UACAUGAACAAGCAUAUUUCGACGGCCCAACCGGAACUUUCCCGGAAUGAACGGUUUGUUUGAAAAGGUUGUCCUCUCUUACCGAUUGGAACGUUUCAACCGGUGAAUUUUGUUCCAUUUACAUCUUUUUUUUUAUUUUUGCACCAGUUCCAGGCUCUUCGCGAUUUAAUUCAAACCGAAUGGGUUUUCCAUGUAAAUGGUAAACAACCCUUCAGUGCCUUUCGGUCAGUCACUCUAAAUGGAAAGCGUAUAAUCCGAAUGGGAUUUUCUAUUCGAAAUUUUGCUUACCAUUAGCACAAUUUCAAACCGGAUGGGUUUUCCAUGUAAAUGGUAAACAAUCCUUG